CAUCGGAAGAUUGCCUUUUGCAUUUACGCUUGCUAUAAGUGUACUCAUGAUAUGUGAGACAAGUUUUGACUCUUUCAUGCUAGAUCUAUGACAAUGUUAUAUUAAUCAAUUAGCUCAUGGGAAUUGACUAUAUUGGUAUUAUAAGUGUUGCAUGUGUAAUUAAUAAAUGGAAGAAAUAACACCUGCUUGGAAUCUCCCAGUCCUGGCGCGUGUGAUCUGACUGGGUUGCUUUGUUGUGUGGUUGCAGGGCAAGGUGGUGAACCCGCUAUUCGAGAAGAGGCCAAGAACAUAAUAUUUUCAUAUUUGCCAUCUGAACAAGUUACUGUUAUCCAAAUGAUUUUGCCUACAAUAACCUAUUAUUCACCAUUGGUUCAGUAGAUGUAUAUGUAGUAGAAACUUACACUACCAGUGAUAGUUUGAAUCUAAGAACUCACCCUGUUUAUCUGAUCUUUGUAGCUGCUAGAUUUGAGUGGUAUCCUCACUGUAUUCUUCCCUGGUAUUGUGAUGUCACAUUACACCUAGCAUAAUGUGACAGAGAGCUCAAGAGUUGCAACAAAGUAAUCUUAGUUCUUAGUCUGUGUAAUUUCAAUAUAAGUAAUCUUUUGUUCAGUCAAAAACUGCUGCACGUGCUACUACCAGUAGUGCUUGUGAUUUUGUUUUCCUCUUAAUUUCUGUACAACCGUUAGUUGUGAGAGAUUACUAGCUGUUGUUGUAUUGCUAAUUGAUAUACCAUUUUUUUGUCGUUACCUUUGUUGGAGCCCAUAUGCUUAGACCUUUGAUGGAGUGCAUCAAUGUUGGCCAUGUUGCUGCAUUCACAUCACUCAUUUCACCACGCUGACAACACAACAUUCUGUGGAUUAGAUAAGUCUUUUGUCUAUCCCAUUCUCUUCUUUUCUUAUUUGAGUAUCCACUGAAGUUUAUGGAGGAGCAUUUGAUAUGCAUCUCUCCAUUAUUCCUGUCUAUGUCUAAUAUUGGCUUGUGUAUUGAGAUGUUGUUGUUGUAAAAACAAG
rnacentral:lncRNA from 1 species